GUUCUGUUAACUCUGUUUCCUUCUUCUCAUUCCUCGCCCAAGAGGUAUGCAGCACGCUCGUUCAGAAUCGGCGUGGCCACCACGGCCACUAAGCGGGGUCUGUCCCCUACUGCGAUCAAGGCGCUGGGCCGUUGGUCGUCUGGCGCAUGCGCUUCCUGCAUUUGCCUCACUCCUCAUCACGUCAUUGAAGCAUGCUAUAUCUGGUCUGUAACUUUAUGUUUUCUAUUCUCAUUUCUGGUGACGGUGGUAUUUUGCUGCGUCGGCGGCAUUCACUCUAUCUCUUGGGGGGCUAUCGCUCCGGUCACCCGGUCAUGUCUGUAUUCUAUCCUUCUCUCAUCUAUCAGAUUGAUUUUAUAGUGGUCCGUAAGCCUGUUAUCUCCAUAUUUUGUAACAUCGAACCAGCCAGGCUAGUUGCCGUGGUUGUUUAUCCGUGAUGUCAACUAUCAUACCAUAUUACAUUAUAUUAUAGCCUACGUUCAUUCAUUCAUCCAUUCAUUCAUUUACUCAUUCAUCACCAUGUUCUACUCUCUCCCUUAGGUCACGAUUCCGGCUCCCUACCUACUGUCAUAAUCUAAGUUUUCAGCGCUCUCCUGACCAAGAUGGUGUCUCCUUGUAAGCUGUAGUUAAGCCGACUUUGAAGCCACCACCACCCCUCCGUCCACCGUCACCAGUGGUUCCCGUCUGUUAGGGGGCAGGCUACGCCCGCCUCCAUCUCCGCUGGAGGAUAUGCCGUCCUACCCCGGAGUUCAACGCGAAGACGGGAACCUUCGC